rnacentral:rRNA from 1 species
CCUUUAGUGGGGACAACAUAUGGAAACGUAUGCUAAUACCGAAUAUGCUCUACGGAGUAAAGGUGCCCUCUCCUUGGAAGGUAUCGCUAAAGGAUGAGCCCGCGUUAGAUUAGCUAGUUGGUAAGGUAAAGGCUUACCAAGGCGACGAUCUAUAGCUGGUUUGAGAGGAUGAUCAGCCACACUGGAACUGAGACACGGUCCAGACUCCUACGGGAGGCAGCAGUGGGGAAUAUUGCACAAUGGACGCAAGUCUGAUGCAGCCAUACCGCGUGUGUGAAGAAGGCCCGAGGGUUGUAAAGCACUUUCAAUAGCGAGGAAGAUAAUGUAGUUAAUACCUGCAUUGUUUGACGUUAACUAUAGAAGAAGCACCGGCUAACUCUGUGCCAGCAGCCGCGGUAAUACAGAGGGUGCAAGCGUUAUUCGGAAUUACUGGGCGUAAAGCGCGCGUAGGCGGAUUAUUAAGUCAGUUGUGAAAGCCCUGGGCUCAACCUAGGAACUGCAUCUGAUACUGGUAAUCUAGAGUUUAAGAGAGGGAAGUGGAAUUCCAGGUGUAGCAGUGAAAUGCGUAGAUAUCUGGAGGAACAUCAGUGGCGAAGGCGACUUCCUGGCUUAAAACUGACGCUGAGGUGCGAAAGCGUGGGUAGCGAACGGGAUUAGAUACCCCGGUAGUCCACGCCGUAAACGAUGUCAACUAGCUGUUGGCCUUAU